UUGAACGCUGGCGGCAGGCUUAACACAUGCAAGUCGAGCGGUAACAGGAGAAGCUUGCUUCUCGCUGACGAGCGGCGGACGGGUGAGUAACGCGUAGGAAUCUGCCUAGCAGUGGGGGAUAGCCCAGAGAAAUUUGGAUUAAUACCGCAUACGCCCUUCGGGGGAAAGAAGGCCUCUAUUUAUAAGCUUACUGUUAGAUGAACCUGCGUUGGAUUAGCUAGUUGGUGGGGUAAAGGCCUACCAAGGCGACGAUCUAUAGCUGGUCUGAGAGGAUGACCAGCCACACUGGAACUGAGACACGGACCAGACUCCUACGGGAGGCAGCAGUGGGGAAUAUUGGACAAUGGGCGCAAGCCUGAUCCAGCGAUGCCGCGUGUGUGAAGAAGGCCUGAGGGUUGUAAAGCACUUUAGUUGGGGAGGAAAGGUUGAAGAUGAAUAAGCUUCAACUGUGACGUUACCCAAAGAAUAAGCACCGGCUAACUCUGUGCCAGCAGCCGCGGUAAUACAGAGGGUGCAAGCGUUAAUCGGAAUGACUGGGCGUAAAGGGCGCGUAGGCGGAUACAUGUGUCAUAGGUGAAAUCCCUGGGCUUAACCUGGGAACUGCCGAUGAAACUAUGUAACUAGAAUAUAGGAGAGGAGAGUGGAAAUUUCCAGUGUAGCGGUGAAAUGCGUAGAGAUUGGAAAGAACACCAGUGGCGAAGGCGGCUUUCUGGCCUAAUAUUGACGCUGAGGCGCGAAAGCGUGGGUAGCGAACAGGAUUAGAUACCCUGGUAGUCCACGCCGUAAACGAUGAGAACUAGAUGCUUGGUGGCUAAGUCCCUUUAGUGUCGAAGCUAACGCGUUAAGUUCUCCGCCUGGGGAGUACGGCCGCAAGGUUAAAACUCAAAUGAAUUGACGGGGGCCCGCACAAGCGGUGGAGCAUGUGGUUUAAUUCGAUGCAACGCGAAGAACCUUACCAGCCCUUGACAUCCUCGGAACUUUCUAGAGAUAGAUUGGUGCCUUCGGGAACCGAGUGACAGGUGCUGCAUGGCUGUCGUCAGCUCGUGUCGUGAGAUGUUGGGUUAAGUCCCGUAACGAGCGCAACCCUUGUCCUUAGUUGCCAGCACGUAAUGGUGGGAACUCUAAGGAGACUGCCGGUGACAAACCGGAGGAAGGUGGGGAUGACGUCAAGUCAUCAUGGCCCUUAUGGGCUGGGCUACACACGUGCUACAAUGGCCGGUACAGAGGGCUGCAAACCCGCGAGGGGGAGCUAAUCUCAGAAAACCGGUCGUAGUCCGGAUCGGAGUCUGCAACUCGACUCCGUGAAGUCGGAAUCGCUAGUAAUCGCGAAUCAGAACGUCGCGGUGAAUACGUUCCCGGGCCUUGUACACACCGC
rnacentral:rRNA from 1 species